rnacentral:rRNA from 1 species
GACGAACGCUGGCGGCGUGCUUAACACAUGCAAGUCGAACGAAGAGCGAUGGAAGCUUGCUUCUAUCACUCUUAGUGGCGAACGGGUGAGUAACGCGUAAUCAACCUGCCCUUCAGAGGGGGACAACAGUUGGAAACGACUGCUAAUACCGCAUACGAUCUAAUCUCGGCAUCGAGGAUAGAUGAAAGGUGGCCUCUACAUGUAAGCUAUCACUGAAGGAGGGGAUUGCGUCUGAUUAGCUAGUUGGUGGGGUAACGGCCCACCAAGGCGAUGAUAGGUAGCCGGUCUGAUAGGAGAAACGGCCACAUUGGGAUUGAGACACGGCCCAGACUCCUACGGGAGGCAGCAGGGGGGAAUCUUCCGCAAUGGACGAAAGUCUGACGGAGCAACGCCGCGUGAGUGAUGACGGCCUUCGGGUUGUAAAGCUCUGUUAAUCGGGACGAAAGGCCUUCUUGCGAAUAGUGAGAAGGAUUGACGGUACCGGAAUAGAAAGCCACGGCUAACUACGUG